rnacentral:lncRNA from 1 species
CACACCAAAAUCCCAAAACCUACCAGCCAUCAUCACUUUCUUUCCCAUUUGCAGUUCACGAUAAUUCUUUUCCUUUCACCCAAAUUUCUCAUCAAUAAUUGUUCUUAAAAUUGCUUCAUUCCAACAUUUUUAUUUUAUCUAAAAUGAUAAAAUAUUUACCCUUCAAUUCUUAUCUACUUGUUAUGCUUGGAAAUUUUGGAUUCCAAAAAAAUUCACAGAGAGCAACUAACCAUAGUUUUCUUUUUUGCCUUAAAAAGACCAAACAAUAACAAAGAUGAAGAAAGAUGCAAGGUACUUACUUUGAAAAUUUAAGCAGAUUUAGUUCCUUCAGGUAUUUCUAUAGAUGAGUUCUUGUUUCUUUUCUUUCUAUUUUGUUUGAGUGUUUGAGAUUGACAUGAUUGAGUCUCCUUUCUUAAAGAUAAAUGUUAUAAAAUUUUGUUAUUUUUUUCUACUAUGGCUUACUUG